rnacentral:rRNA from 1 species
UACGUAGGGGGCAAGCGUUGUCCGGAAUUAUUGGGCGUAAAGAGCGCGUAGGCGGUCCGAUAAGUCGGCUGUGAAAGUCAAGGGCUCAACCCUUGAAAGCCGGCCGAUACUGUCGGACUAGAGUCCGGAAGAGGCGAGUGGAAUUCCUGGUGUAGCGGUGAAAUGCGCAGAUAUCAGGAGGAACACCAAUUGCGAAGGCAGCUCGCUGGGACGUAACUGACGCUGAGACGCGAAAGCGUGGGAGCAAACAGG